rnacentral:rRNA from 8 species
GUAGCGCGGUGGUCCCACCUGACCCCAUGCCGAACUCAGAAGUGAAACGCCGUAGCGCCGAUGGUAGUGUGGGGUCUCCCCAUGCGAGAGUAGGGAACUGCCAGGCA